rnacentral:misc_RNA from 1 species
UACGGAGGGUGCGAGCGUUGUCCGGAUUUAUUGGGUUUAAAGGGUGCGUAGGCGGCCCCUUAAGUCAGCGGUGAAAGUUUGUGGCUCAACCAUAAAAUUGCCGUUGAUACUGGAGGGCUUGAGUGCCGGCGGGGUACAUGGAAUUUAUGGUGUAGCGGUGAAAUGCAUAGAUACCAUAAGGAACACCGAUAGCGUAGGCAUUGUACUUGCCGGCAACUGACGCUGAGGCACGAAAGCGCGGGUAGCGAACAGG